rnacentral:lncRNA from 1 species
AGUGAAUGGCACUGACAUCCUGCCUCCGCCUGACUGAGCCCUGAGUCACAGGCCCCUGCCGGAGGCCCUGCUGCUCUGGGCAGACCAGGCCUGCACCACUGACAAGGCCUAGGAGGAAGCAUUAGGGCAGUCAAGAGUCCCUGGGGAGGCUGACUGAGGCUUAAAGAAACGGGGCUGGCAUUUCCUCCCGGCAAGGCUGGCCAGGGCCCUGCACUCAGGCUGGCUGGUGAAGAAGCGUGCUGGGGGGCUGCGUGCAUGCAGGCACGGUGUCAAGGUGGCCGGCCCCAGGAAACACAGCAGCCUCUACACUCCCUUCCAACAGUGCAAUGGAAGGGGGGCGUUUCCCAAAAGCCUCAUCUGUGCUCAUGGCACCCUCAUUCUGCCUUUGCUCAUUUAAAAGCCAAAACCAAACCCACACAAGAUAGGCACACCCACAGGAGCUCAGAAAAUUGGUGGGAAGGCUGGAAAAACAGGCCUGGGCAAGGGCAGGAACCAAGACAGCUCCUGAGGGCCAAAAGGCGGGAAGGGCAAGCGCAUAGAUUGGGGGUGGGGAGCAGGAAUGCGUGGCAGGAGGCAGCCGGGAGACUCUGACUGUCCUUGUCCUUCUGCCCAUGAAUUAGAGGAGUGGACAAUCUUACUGGCUAGGUGGGUCACAUGUCCACCCUAUGGCAGGGCAGGGCAGAGGGAGCCUGGUAGACUCUGUCCAGCAGAGAAGAGGCAGUUCCUCCCCAAAAGAAACUAAAGGCCUGUGAGGAAAGGGAGUUGGGUGGUCCAGGCUCAGCAGAUGCCCACCAUCCA